AACCGACUUCGGGACUACCAGCAGAGGGAAGCAGCGGCCCACUUCGGGCCUCCUGGACUCUUCAGGAUGACCUGUCUGCAGAAAGGAGCUACCCACUGGGGGUCUCUCCUCUGCUGAGAGCUGGUCACUCGGGGAACAACCUGCCUGUAGAAAGGAGCUACCCAUUUCGGGUCUCCUGAGAGCUGUUCUGUCGCUUAGUGAAGCUCCUCUCCACCUUGCUCACCCUCCAGUUGUCCAUGUACUUCAUUCUUCCUGGUCACACGACAAGAACUUAGGACCUGCCAAAUGGCAGGACUGAAAGAGCUGUAACACAAACAGGGCUAAAACACGUCCCUGCCGUAUCCCCCAACCCUUGCCAUGUUGUGAGAGACGAGGAGAGAAGAGCUGAGGCCCUUCCGGGACCCCAGACCUAGGGGCUCCCCAAACCAGGGGCUGUGACAGCCUCUUUGGGGCUCUGCAGUUCCUGGCAUCUCCAAGCUUCUGGGUGCCACUGUGUUCCCCUCGUCCAGACACGGGUGCCCGCAGCGGAAGCUGUGUGUAUUACAUCUGGUCCAGCCGCAGCCUCGCAUGGAGCCGGCACCUGUGCUGACACCCAGAGCUGCCUGCCCUGCGGCAGCGGCCAGUGUGCCUGUUCCGCGCGGUGGCUGGACCCCACACUCGCUGGUUCACACACCCUUGGCUUGGCCCUUGGCAGGUGUAGGAUCUGUGCUGGUAGCACUAGCCAAAUGCAGCCUCCCAGGCCGGGUGUGUGGAAUAAGCCCAGUGGGUGCAAAACCCAAGGACAGGCGCCGCGGGCCAUGGAGGUUUCCAGCUGGCAAAGCGACACCCUAAGGAUACUGUGACACUAAUGUUAUCAUCUUCCAUAUCCAUAGUCCAAUGAUCAAAACCAGGAAACCUGCACUGAUAAAAUAAGACUAACUGAUCUGUAGUCGUUACUAGAAUUUUGCCAGUUUUUCCGUUAAUGCCCUUUUUCUGGUACAGGAUUGACUCCAGGGUCUCACAUUGUGUCUAGUUUCCGUGCCUUCUAGUCUUCUGUGACAGUUCCUUUGUGAUUCUGUGAUGACUGUGACUUGAGCACUGACCAUUAUUUUGUAGAGUAUCUCUCCAUUAGGAUUUGGUUGAUGUCUUCUCCUAAUUAGAUGGUCGGUAUUUCUGGCAAGAAUGUCACGCGACACUGGGGACCUACAGUGCUACCAUUGUCCUCCUACCUGAAAGCCUCUGACAAAAUAUUGUCUUCCCAUUCCAUUGAAGGUUCAGAGGCCUCAGUGUCCAAGGGAGAAUGCCGCCAGGAAUGGACACUGCAUAGCUUUUUUUGAACCGGAAGUAAAGGCUGCCCCGCUGUCGCUUUGCCUCAGGACCAAGAGCUCUAAGAGGAAGACUGACCCUGACUGUCCACCGAGAAGCUGUUGCUGCCAUACAACGGAGACAAGGAGUCCAUCGUAUCCAGGGGAUCCCCUGAAAUAUCUCUGAGGAUUGCCAGGUUCAGUGACAGUGUUAAUGAAAGCCUCAAGUGACUCAAUACAAGCAGAAUAACCAAGGACUCAGACCCUUCAGGAAUGAAG
rnacentral:lncRNA from 1 species